UAAAAUUGGGACAUGGGAUGA
ensembl:piRNA 21ur-2536 ncRNA